rnacentral:rRNA from 1 species
CAGUCGCCGCGGUAAUACGAAGGGGGCUAGCGUUGCUCGGAAUUACUGGGCGUAAAGGGCGCGUAGGCGGACAGUUCAGUCGGGGGUGAAAGCCCGGGGCUCAACCUCGGAAUUGCCUUCGAUACUGGCAGUCUUGAGUAUGAGAGAGGUGUGUGGAACUCCGGGUGUAGAGGUGAAAUUCGUAGAUAUUCGGAAGAACACCAGUGGCGAAGGCGGCUUACUGGCUCAUUCUAGACGCUGAGGUGCGAAAGCGUGGGGAGCAAACAGGAUUAGAUACCCCGGUAGUCCCUGUCUCUUAUAC